rnacentral:rRNA from 1 species
GUUGAGUCCAAUUAAACCGCAGGCUUCACCCCUUGUGGUGCUCCCCCGCCAAUUCCUUUAAGUUUCAUACUUGCGUACGUACUUCCCAGGCGGCAAACUUAACGGCUUCCCUGCAGCACUGCAUUGGCCACAAGCCAGUGCAUCACUGAGUUUGCAUAGUUUACAGCUGGGACUACCCGGGUAUCUAAUCC